GGUCGCGAUGGCCUAAUGGUAAGGCUUCGACUUCAGCCUCGAAGGGUUUCCAGGUUCGAAACCCGAUACCACCG
rnacentral:tRNA from 13 species